UGCUCCACGAUGCUAUCUGUUCUAAAAAAAAAUCUGAUUUUCUCCUUCUUGUUGGCUUCUCCGCGCUGGCUCCCAAGUCCACGCCGCCGCCUCCCAUAGCCUCCGUCCAUGUCAAAAUCCUCGCCGCCACUGAGGGUACGAUUCGGCAUAUUGGCCGCCGCCGAGAGAAGCAGCACCGGUGGCCGCGCAGCAGGCGUCGGGAGCGUCGCGUCGCGGUGGAGAGAGCCAGACAGAGGGCUGCUGUCAGUCCGCGCGGUGGCGCCGUGGAGCGACGCGGCAGCCAUUGCCGCUGUUGAAGGAGAGCCGCUAAAGCGUCGAGGCUGCACAGGGUUGUGGCGACUCGAUCUGCGUCGAACGCAUGUUUCUGCGUUGGAAUGGUAAAGUAGAGGUGAUGCUAGGCAAGUUCAUUCUUGCCAUGAUUCUUACCUAUUUUUCUUAUUCUUAUCUGUGUUUUUUCUCUGUGUUGAAGAACCCUGUUGGUAGAGAUUAUGUGCUAAUAACCUGUAAGAAUUCAGAGAAUUGAGAGGACAAGUUCCUUUUCAUCUAUGGUUACAGAACAUUCAGAGAAUUGAGAGGACAAGUUCCUUUUCAUCUAUGGUUACAGAACAUCUAUGAGUUGAUGGGCUUGUGAAAUUCCAGCUGGUCGUCGCCUCUUUUAGUAGUAAUUGUCAGCUCUCUGCACUUUUUCCUUGCAUUAUACAAUUUUUCCAUGUGAUGUUAAGGUACUGCUUGUGUGGAGCUGUUGGGAAGCGAAAGGAUGUUACUUGGCUCGAGUUCUACUUGAUGGCACGUUGUGCUGCAGUCUGGGAACCACUCAGUCCUUUUCCAGUAAGGAAAAGUUUGUUUGCUGGUUUCAAACUUGGGAAAUGAUGUUAUGGUCUUCUUCCACUCCGUGAGUUAGGUCCGAGUAAGCUGCCGUCGAGUUCAGUUAGCUAUCAUCAACGAGUGACGUACGUGAGCCAGGGCUUUGAGACAAGAGGAUAAAAGGAUUAUCCUGAAGAUCUCUGUUAACAAUGGGCAAGAGAGAAAGACUCGAAUAACUUUUACCCAUGGACAAUUAUUUGACCAAGAUAGAUGCCGAUGUUUUCAUCUCAGAGUGCUGCCCCACUUCGGAUUGAGGAGAAGGAAGAUGGCGUCAUCGGUAAUACAAUGUUCAUGGAAAUUGCGGCAUGAUGGAAUGGACGAUUUUGGGUUUCUUUAUUGUAAGAAAGAGUAUCCGCGGGAGGCUAAAAAUGGUGUUCUUUGACUACAUGCAGUAUAUGUGUGUUCCUUUGGUUUACAAAGUUGAACCCGACAAAUAGUACUAGACUGGUGAUACAUACGAGAGUCCGUGUUAAUUUUGGGAAAGGAUGCAAGCUUUACUUUUUAGAAGUUCUAAUGUUUCAUUAGAUGUGUUAAUGGUGCUCGAGAUUUUUGCAAAUAGGAAACAUUCAGAGUGCAAUUUAGGAAGUGUAAGCGCGUCACGGUUAUUGGAUCUUCCGGAAGCCACGACAUUUGACUUCCACGCAAAAAGGAUCCAGAUCACGUGCCUCGCGUAGAGGAUGAUGCUGCCCUUGAGGCACCCCAUGAUGACAAGCCACAGCCCUUGUGAUGAGCUCAGGUCACGGACUAAAGAAGAGGAAGAGAUGCACGAGCGCACGCCACCAAGGAGUCGCUCGAGCCUGUCUGCGCCAACCACCUACUCUGACCAUCGCCAGCCCACCUAAUAUGACCAUGUUCUUUGGGCUUUUGUUGCUGAAUAUGCAUAGGGUUCUGUAUCUGAUGAGUUAUUAUGGCAUGCUAUCUUUAUUUGCGUUCA